AAAGUUGAAGCGCAAGCACGCAAACUUUGAAAGAAGUUAAAAAAGGACAAGACAGGCGGAGACCUUACGCUUCGUUAAAGCGGGUUCAAUGUAUGAACGCGGGAAAAUCUGAUUUCAGCUAACCCUUGCUAAAUCUUACGCGUAUCAGACACUCACACCAAAUUCUCUUCUUCUAGUUCUAUUUAAUAUUUUACUUUCAGAACCCCAUUCCAACUCAGCGAACCCCACAAAUCCUGCUUUAGGGAAGAUUCUGUGAGAAUUACAGAGCAGCAGCUUUCGGCCAUGGCCAGGACAACGGUUCUCUUUCUUCUGGUUACUUUCUGGAUCGUUUCUUUCGCCUCUUCUUCAGAGGCUGUGCGUUUCGGCGCAGCGAUCAAUGGCGCGGGCGCGAGAAAAUUGAUGGAAGAAAGCGACGGAGCCUCCGAUUCUGAGGCAAUGAGGAGGAGGAGGGAAGGGGUUCCGCCUUCGCCGAAAGCCAACUCUAAUAUCCCUGGCCCUUUUGUGGCAAAUAAUCAUCUGCACUGAAAUGCAAAUAGGAAAAAUUUCCAAGUAUUUGUUGUAGAUCUGCUUAAUAAUUUGUAUGUAAUUAGUCUUCGGAACAGGCUAAGAAAUCUUCCGCAUUUUAAGCUGUGGAUUGAUUUUAUGAGAUCAAAUCAGCUCAGCAAUAUAAAUCUUUCGGUUAUUUGGUUAAAUUAUCCACCGACUUGUGAAUUAGGGGAUCAUAUGCAUCGAAUGGACUAGUUUUUAUUUGGGAA